rnacentral:rRNA from 1 species
GACGAACGCUGGCGGCGUGCUUAACACAUGCAAGUCGAACGGAGCACCUUCGAAAGAGACUUCGGUCAAUGGAAAAGAAUGCUUAGUGGCGGACGGGUGAGUAACGCGUGAGGAACCUGCCUUUCAGUGGGGGACAACAGUUGGAAACGACUGCUAAUACCGCAUAACGUACGGGUAUCGCAUGGUAUCUGUACCAAAGAUUUAUCGCUGAGAGAUGGCCUCGCGUCUGAUUAGCUGGUUGGUAGGGUAACGGCCUACCAAGGCGACGAUCAGUAGCCGGACUGAGAGGUUGGCCGGCCACAUUGGGACUGAGAUACGGCCCAG